rnacentral:rRNA from 1 species
UAAUGUAUGGGGAUCUGCCCGAUAGAGGGGGAUAACUACUGGAAACGGUGGCUAACACCGCAUAAUGUCUACGGACCAAAGCAGGGGCUCUUCGGACCUUGCACUAUCGGAUGAACCCAUAUGGGAUUAGCUAGUAGGUGGGGUAAAGGCUCACCUAGGCGACGAUCUCUAGCUGGUCUGAGAGGAUGAUCAGCCACACUGGGACUGAGACACGGCCCAG